rnacentral:rRNA from 1 species
AUUGAACGCUGGCGGCAGGCCUAACACAUGCAAGUCGAGCGGAUGAAGGGAGCUUGCUCCUGGAUUCAGCGGCGGACGGGUGAGUAAUGCCUAGGAAUCUGCCUGGUAGUGGGGGAUAACGUCCGGAAACGGGCGCUAAUACCGCAUACGUCCUGAGGGAGAAAGUGGGGGAUCUUCGGACCUCACGCUAUCAGAUGAGCCUAGGUCGGAUUAGCUAGUUGGUGGGGUAAAGGCCUACCAAGGCGACGAUCCGUAACUGGUCUGAGAGGAUGAUCAGUCACACUGGAACUGGGACACGGUCCAGACUCCUACAGGAGGCAGCAGUGGGGAAUAUUGGACAAUGGGCGAAAGCCUGAUCCAGCCAUGCCGCGUGUGUGAAGAAGGUCUUCGGAUUGUAAAGCACUUUAAGUUGGGAGGAAGGGCAGUAAGUUAAUACCUUGCUGUUUUGACGUUACCAACAGAAUAAGCACCGGCUAACUUCGUG